rnacentral:siRNA from 1 species
UGGAACAUAUUUCCAAGUUAGCGA